rnacentral:rRNA from 1 species
UACGUAGGGUGCGAGCGUUGUCCGGAAUUACUGGGCGUAAAGAGCUCGUAGGUGGUUUGUCGCGUUGUUCGUGAAACUCACAACUCAAUUGUGGGCGUGCGGGCGAUACGGGCAGGACUUGAGGUAUUCAGGGGAGAACGGAAUUCCUGGUGUAGCGGUGAAAUGCGCAGAUAUCAGGAGGAACACCGGUGGCGAAGGCGGUUCUCUGGGGAAUAUCCUGACGUGAGGAGCGAAAGUGUGGGGAGCGAACAGGGA